UACGUAGGCAGCAAGCGUUGUUCGGAGUUACUGGGCGUAAAGGGUGCGUAGGCGGGUCUUUAAGUCAGGGGUGAAAUCCUGGAGCUCAACUCCAGAACUGCCUUUGAUACUGAGGAUCUUGAGUCCGGGAGAGGUGAGUGGAACUGCGAGUGUAGAGGUGAAAUUCGUAGAUAUUCGCAAGAACACCAGUGGCGAAGGCGGCUCACUGGCCCGGUACUGACGCUGAGGCACGAAAGCGUGGGGAGCAAACAGG
rnacentral:rRNA from 1 species